rnacentral:lncRNA from 1 species
AGGGGUUGUGAGACAAUAAACUAAUGGUAGCAGGGACCUGUGGCCCCCGAAGCCCUGGGUGGGUACCGCCAGACCCUUCGUAGAAGUCGCCCACCCUGGUUUUAUAUGAUGAAACCAGGCAGCCCAUGACCCUGUAGGAAAAAGUAAGACAAAUUGGAAGUCCUCCUCUGGCUCUUGGACACCUCAAGCCAAAACCUCCCCCGUCUGUACCCAGGCCUCACAGCCCACCCCCACCAGGGUCUCCCGUGGAGGAUGGAGGAGUGUGUGGUGGAGGGAUCACGGAAGCUUCCCGCAGUUCCAUCUUGCCCUCGGCAGGAUCAUCUGGAUUAGCUCAGUGAGACCCAAAGCCUUCAGGGACAGGCAGCCCCAAAAGCAGAUGCCUCAAGAACAUUCCAGUGAGUUCUGAAGUCCUCCCCCACCCUGCAAGCCCAGAGGAUGCCUCCGGAGAGAGCUGAGGUUGGACAGACCUGCAGAGCAACCCUGCCCUGCACUCUGUCCCCAGGCCCAUCCUGGAAGGUGCCACAGCCCCGCCCUCCAACACAGGCGUCUAAUAGACUCCCCAUGGGCCGCUGUCCUGGCCAGGGUCCUGCUGCAUGAGAAGAUGGCUGCUCCCUCCCCUCCCUACGCCGUGGUCAUUGUUCUACAAUCGAGUGCCUUAAUCCUAGUUUACAAAUACUGUGUAUUUAUGGAGACUGUUGCGCUCUCAUCUUUGGUGACUGGGUAUUUGUCUCAUCAGUGGUGGUUGGUGUGGGACACGAGCUGUCCUAGGCCAUUCUCGUGUUGACUCCGCUGUGCAGUUGGACGUGGUGUGUCCACAGCUACUCCAGGGAGCCUUGCUAGAAACAGCACCUGUGGUUCCGGGGGCCAGGCCAGCCUCGGCCAUGGGUGCGUCCCUCAGGAGCCCACGAAAGAACACAGUUUGGUUUGUGGCCAGCUGGGGAGCGGCACAGGCCAAGCUCCAGACCCCAGCCCCUCGGCCAUCCCCAUCACAGCUGUGCCCUUGUCUCAUAGAGGUGUGACUACCGCCUGGCCACCCUGGCUUUCCUCUCUUAGUGUCCUAAACUCUUUUGCAACAAAAUGUAGGUACAGGUCCCCCACUGGGACACCAC